GGAUUAUGGCUCAGUGGCAGAGCACUUGCCUUGCACGUGUGAAGUACUGGGUUCGAUCCUCAGCACCA
rnacentral:tRNA from 1 species